rnacentral:rRNA from 1 species
UACGGGGGGGGCAAGCGUUGUUCGGAAUUACUGGGCGUAAAGGCUCGUAGGCGGCCAACUAAGUCGGAUGUGAAAGUCCUGGGCUUAACUGGGACUGCAUUUGAUACUGAUUGGCUUGAAUGCAGAAGAGGAAAGCGGAAUUCCACGUGUAGCGGUGAAAUGCGUAGAGAUGUGGAGGAACACCAGUGGCGAAGGCGGCUUUCUGGUCUGUAACUGACGCUGAGGCGCGAAAGCGUGGGGAGCAAACAGG